UACAGAGACUGCAAGCGUUAUUCGGAUUCACUGGGCGUAAAGGGCGCGUAGGCGGCACCGCAAGUCGACUGUGAAAUCUCCGGGCUUAACCCGGAAAGGUCAGCCGAUACUGCGGGGCUAGAGUGCAGAAGGGGCAACUGGAAUUCUCGGUGUAGCGGUGAAAUGCGUAGAUAUCGAGAGGAACACCUGCGGCGAAGGCGGGUUGCUGGGCUGACACUGACGCUGAGACGCGAAAGCGUGGGGAGCAAACAGG
rnacentral:rRNA from 1 species